ACAGGUAUGAGCACGCAGGCAUAUGCGCCGGAGUGCGAAUGCCUGUCGGGAUUGCGGGAGUGCGAUGCACGGGGCAAUCC
rnacentral:sRNA from 1 species